rnacentral:tRNA from 1 species
GCGGUGAUGGUUCGGUGGUAGAACUCUCACCUUCCAUGCGGGAGACCUGGGUUCAAUUCCCGGCCAGUGCA